AGUAAAAUGACUGAAAAUUAAGUGAUAAAUUGUAAAUUUAUUUAUAAAUAUUAAAAUAUUUUUUUACUA
rnacentral:tRNA from 1 species